rnacentral:rRNA from 1 species
CCUACGGGAGGCAGCAGUCGAGAAUCAUUCACAAUGGGGGAAACCCUGAUGGUGCGACGCCGCGUGGGGGAAUGAAGGUCUUCGGAUUGUAAACCCCUGUCAUGUGGGAGCAAAUUAAAAAGAUAGUACCACAAGAGGAAGAGACGGCUAACUCUGUGCCAGCAGCCGCGGUAAUACAGAGGUCUCAAGCGUUGUUCGGAAUCACUGGGCGUAAGGCGUGCGUAGGCUGUUUCGUAAGUCGUGUGUGAAAGGCGCGGGCUCAACCCGCGGACGGCACAUGAUACUGCGAGACUAGAGUAAUGGAGGGGGAACCGGAAUGCUCGGUGUAGCAGUGAAAUGCGUAGAUAUCGAGAGGAACACUCGUGGCGAAGGCGGGUUCCUGGACAUUAACUGACGCUGAGGCACGAAGGCCAGGGGAGCGAAAGGGAUUAGAUACCCUUGUAGUC